GAAAAAACAGACCGCCGGAUGAAGAGUCCCUCCGCGGCUUAACUUCCUUGGUAAGUCCAUCAAUUUCCAGUCUCCAAGAACAGGAGAGUGAAGAAAGAAUUGAAAGGAAACCUAAAACAUCCAGCAGUUUCUUUCGCAA